UUAAAUCUGUCACCCCUUAGUUUAUCUUCAAUACACCAGAUCCCAAGCACCUUUACUUUGAAAAGAACACCAGCACUCGUUUUUCUUUCAGACUUCAGAGACAAUUAUUUUUUUCUCCCUAAGCCCCACCUUUCUGCAUUUUCCUGACUCUUCUCCAUUUUAGUAGGAGCCUAAAGACCCUGCAUUUCCUGUGUUGCCCAGGAGCUGGAAGAUUCCUUCAUAAUGAUCUCAAAGCACAAAACAAAUAAAUCAAAAUUGAAAAUUGCUGGAGUCUCAUGGAGAAUCUUUACUCCAUUUGUGGAUGACCUGAAGAGAGAAAUCAUUUACAAUAAGCCUAUACACCAAGUUGAGGAUGCUACCUUGACACCAGCCUGACCCCCUCGGGCAAAUGGCCUCACCAGUGUACCUUGGAACCCCAUCUCUCCAAAGCCCUACCCCACUAGGGAAAGAUAGGAACAGGCUGGGAGUAUGGAUUGACCUGCCAACACCCAUAUUCAGCAGAGAAGCAAUUACAGAAGCCAGACCUUCUAACUUCUGCACUCAAUAAUGAUCCUGGGUCCCUAUUCCCAGAGAAAUAAAGAAUUGAAAAGCCUUCAGUAGAAGGGAUGGGAUAUGGAACUCUGGUGGUGGGUA